ACGGCCACAUUGGGACUGACACACGGCCCAGACUCCUACGGGAGGCAGCAGUGGGGAAUAUUGCACAAUGGGGGAAACCCUGAUGCAUCGACGCCCCGUGAAGGAAGAAGUAUCUCGGUAUGUAAACUUCUAUCAUCAGGGAAGAUAGUGACGGUACCUGACUAACAAGCCCCGGCUAACUACGUGCCAGCAGCCGCGGUAAUACUUACGGGGCAAGCGUUAUCCGGAUUUACUGGGUGUAAAGGGAGCGUAGACGGUGUGGCAAGUCUGAUGUGAAAGGCAUGGGCUCAACCUGUGGACUGCAUUGGAAACUGUCAUACUUGAGUGCCGGAGGGGUAAGCGGAAUUCCUAGUGUAGCGGUGAAAUGCGUAGAUAUUAUGAGGAACACCAGUGGCGAACGCGGCUUACUGGACGGUAACUGACGUU
rnacentral:rRNA from 1 species